UUCACAAAAUUGAAUUUCAUUUCAUGUAAUUAUCCCCUACCGUUUUGAAACCCUAGCACACCCACCCCCCAUUUCAAAACCGAGCAGAGUUGCACCAGCCACCAUUUCGAAGGACUCCCAGCUGCCCACUGUUCGUCCACCGCCCUUCUAUUUCUCUCGUGCUCCCAAAUGCGCACGGCCCCCCAACACCGAAAAACCACCACCGCUCUUGCCACUGCUCGCCAGCUUUCUGGCUCUCUAUGUGACGGAAUUAGAUUUGUCUCUCAAAGGCUAGAAUUCGAUGGUGACGAGACUGGAUUUAUGGACUCUAUUUAAGCAUUGCCACGUAUAGGUUCAAGGUUUUCGGUGGUAGGGUGGUCGUGGUGUCGCGUCGCGGUGCUGUAGUGGUGGUGUCAUGGUGCGCGGUGGUGCUCUCCCGUCUCUGAAAAAAUUUGAGAUUGUUGUAAAUUUGAGAUAUGAGAUUUGUUUAUGUGAAACUGAAAAAAUUAUGUGAAAUUGAAAAAAUUCGUGUGGCAUCGAUCUGGUUAUAAUUACUAGAUUUUUUUUA